rnacentral:tRNA from 1 species
GCGGCUAUGGCGGAACUGGCAGACGCGCUGGAUUUAGGUUCCAGUGGGAGACCGUGCAGGUUCGAGUCCUGUUAGCCGCACUA